GACGAACGCUGGCGGCGUGCCUAAUACAUGCAAGUCGAGCGGAGUUAGAGAAGCUUGCUUCUCUAACUUAGCGGCGGACGGGUGAGUAACACGUGGGCAAUCUGCCCGUAAGACUGGGAUAACUCCGGGAAACCGGGGCUAAUACCGGAUAAUCCUGACUCUCUCCUGAGAGUCAGUUGAAAGAUGGUUUCGGCUAUCACUUACGGAUGAGCCCGCGGCGCAUUAGCUAGUUGGUAGGGUAAUGGCCUACCAAGGCGACGAUGCGUAGCCGACCUGAGAGGGUGAUCGGCCACACUGGGACUGAGACACGGCCCAGACUCCUACGGGAGGCAGCAGUAGGGAAUCUUCCACAAUGGACGAAAGUCUGAUGGAGCAACGCCGCGUGAGUGAAGAAGGUUUUCGGAUCGUAAAACUCUGUUGUAAGGGAAGAACACGUACGAGAGUAACUGCUCGUACCUUGACGGUACCUUAUUAGAAAGCCACGGCUAACUACGUG
rnacentral:rRNA from 1 species